AGUUAGGAAACCACAUAGAAGAGUCAGAGUUAUAAGAAUCAUGAGGUCAGGACAACUGUGAGGACAGAUAAUUUAGGGUCUUCUAUGUCAUUUUAAGAAUUUUGCUCUUUGUUCUGUAAACUAUGGAGAGGCUUUGAAGGAUUUUAAGAAAGAAGGUUACAGGAUCUUUCUUAGCUUUUAAAGAUCACUAUCACUUUGGUAGCAUUUGGAGAAUGAAUUAUAGGAAGUGAGAUUAGACACAGGGAGACAGUUAGGGGGCUAUUUCCAGACUGAGAUAAAGGGUGAUGCCGCUGAACUCUGGCCAUCAAAGGAGGAAGGAAAGAAGGGUACAGGUAUGAAAAAUGGCAAGCACCAUGCCUUCCUGGAGACGGAAGAAGAUUGAGCGAGAUUACAUCUCAUUGAACAAUCAUUGGGCUCUUUCUUGCCCUGGAGACUCAAUGAUUUUAUGUCUGAAGGUUCAUAAGUCACAAGAUAUCUGGAAUUAGGUGGUGAAUAAAAGUUCUGUCCAGCCAGUUCUUCUUCCAGCUGAUGACAAAACCACCUUGGAAGGUAUGAAAGACUGAGUCAAUUUGAAUCCAGGAGGAAUAUCAGAGGAGGAAGGCAAAGACUGGGAGGCCACAACGGUGAUUUUGGAAGAACCUGGUUAGGGAAGAGUGAAGCACGAUUAUUUUUGUCUACUUUGUUAAGAACUGAGAGUUCUGAAAAGUCUGGAUUGCACUAUGAAAAGUUUGCGUGCUUAGUGAAAUGUUGUCCAGUUGGCCAAUCCACUUGGUCUUGGGAAAUGUCCUAGAAGAUUGGCAAGAAAAUGUUCUCAAGAGAGCACAAGUGCUGCCAAUUUCCAAUUGACCAAGACACAUUACAAGGACAACCUUCUCUCGGAGCAACCUGGCAUUUCCACUCCAAUUGGAAUCUGCAACAAAAAGAUGCAUGCGGGAGAAAGACUAAAUAAACAAACCUUUCAGAUUUCCGCUCCAGUGUUGCAGGCGUUGUGUUGAUGUUGCAGCUACAGCCGGUUUGAUUUCUGGCCUUCGGGGAUCUCACAUACAGAGACUGAAGCAGGAAAAUAUGACGACACGUGAUCCACUGGAACAGAGGCUCCGUGAAUUCAUGCUGGUGCUUUUCGUUGGUUCUGCUCACUGCUGUAUCACAAGCCCUUGGAACAACAGCUGCACACAAUAAAGACAUAGAAAAUCUUCUGACGCAUAGAGCUGUGUUUUGACUGCCUGAUGAUUUAGACAAUUACAAAGAACACGGACUUUGGAGUCACCUAGAACUUAGUCUGCAUGCUGCUCUGUUAUUUGCUACUUGUAUAAUCAUUGGCAAGAUAUUGAUCUGAGUGUGAGUUUCCUCAUCUAUAAAAUGGAGUUCUUCAACUACUAAAGUUCCCAUUGACAGAUUUGAAGUACCAUGAUAUCGUCAAGCAAAAUCUGAAUCUGGAAAUCAAAUUAUUUUAAGCCAAGCAUAAGUGUAUUUCAUUCUCUUUCUUUGGAAAUUGGCGAUCUGGUUAUGGUCAUGACCACUGGUUAUGGUAGGGAACUACAUCAAAUAUUCCCGAGCUGGAAACAAUGAUUAAAAGCACCCUUUUUAUUUGAUUCUGAAAAACAAAAGAAUGUAAGCUGUUCCCAAAAGAAAAAGAAAAAAAAAAAUCAACCCCGUGCCGGGCCUCCCAACGCGGAGGCAGUGAACAGAACAGAUACGACGAGGAGACCCUGGGCACCAGCUGUGAGCACCUUGAGCAGGUUCAUCCCGGCUGUGUCCACACCUCGGUGAUGAAUUAGUUAACAGUCUACAUAAUCUUCACGUGUUGCAGCUAAGAUUUCAGCUAAUUGGAUGGUGCUUAAAAAAAAAAAAAAAAGUCAUUUCACAAGAACACAGAUUUUUACUAACAGAGUAGCCUGAGAAGCCAGACUGAGGCAGAUCUCAGUGAGGGAGAGACCAUCCCUGUCGUCAGACCCAUCCAUCCCCCGACCCUUGCCACUUCCCAGACUCACUAAUAUUCAGCUGCUGCACCUGCAGCGUCGCCAGAAACGGCUGUGAGGAGACCUGUUUCCAACCACAGAGCAGGCGUGGGGUGCGGCACUGCGUUCUGAUGAAAAAAUAACAUCUCUAGGAGUUUUCCAAAUUGUAUAAAGUUGCUUCAAAUGGCAGGAAAAGGAUACAAAUACAUAUAAUGAGCUGAUCUGAGGCAUAAAUUCGCCCCCUUCGUCGCGUGAAAAAAAAAGUAUGUGAAGCCCAAGCCUCUGUCCUUCUCUUGGCUCUUUCCCCAACCCCAUCCACCUAAGCUCAAGAACACAACCCAUGUGUCUGCCGACUGAAUGGCAGCCACCACCCAGGAGCCCCGUGUGUGGUGUAUGGGUGCACGUGUGUGUGUAUAUACGUGUGGGAGUGUAUAAAUAUACUCAGGUUUUGAAACCGUUUUCCUCACAUUGGGAGCUCGAGAGGCGUGUGAGUACACAUGCACAUGCUUGCGCUCUCUCUCUCUCUCUCUCUCUCACACACACACACACACACACCCACACACACACACACAAACACACACGGAAGUUUGGAAUGGACAGUGUGGACAAAUUCCCACUCUUCAUUACAGUAUUCACAGGUGUAAUUCCUAAUAGUGAGUUUUCCCAGAAAGGAUGGGUUGUGUACCUGCAAGUUAGCUACAUUAAGAGGAAAAAAAGAAAAAGCAGCCUCUGCUCUAUUGAAACUUGCUUUUCAUUGGAAAGAUGCUGAAGGCAGAAGUGUACAAUUGCUCGCCUUUCAAUAUUCCAUUUGCAAGAACAUCUUUUCAUUGAUCUCUGUCUAUAUGUCCUGAAAGUAUGUGGUGUUAAUUUGUUUUUUGAGAUAUAGAUCACAUAGUGUUACCAACACUUAAUGCUUCCCAUUAAGGUUCUUGUAAUGUGGUCUAUUUUGACUUCUUUUGCAGCAAACUCAUAUCUACUAUUGUAGACAGAACUCUGUACAAAUCCAGUCCAAACCAAACCAAACCAAACAACCCAGUUCCUAUGAAGGCCGAAGUUCAAGUACUUCCCAUGGCAGUUUAUUUCCCAAUGGAAAUAAGCUUUGUUGUGACGUUUGUGGUUACUUUAGAAGUCACUGAGAGGUAGUUUUACGGACAACUUCAUGGUGACAGAUUUGCUUCUCAUUCUCUGAAUGCCAAAGAAAGAUGGAAUUUUCACACUGAUGUGUUUUGCUAAAUUUUUAAAAAUGUGACCAAGUGUUCAAAAUUAAAAUGUGACCACCCCAUCUAAUCAAAUACAACAGGUUUUAGUAGAUAAAAAGGACUUUUCAAAUUCAUUUGCAAGUGCUACUGCUUUUGAGUGUUUCCACUGUGCUCUCAGCCCUUGAAUGGAGAAAUUAACACUGUUGCAUAGCACCCUCUUAAAGAACCACCCAAAUGUGUGUUGCCCUGUUUCAUAUUGAUGUAGAAAUGAAGGAUCAGGGAUUUUUGGUGGCUCACCCAGAGUCAGGACAGAUAACAAUGCCAGCCCACUGGCUCAGUAUUUAUUCAAAAUAAUUCUGAAUGCUUCAGGUAAAAGAAGGUCAUGAUUUUAAAUCUCAGUGGGCUGAUAAAACAGGCAUUACACUGAGGGUUUAUAUUAUGAUUUCCAUGGCACAAGGACUUCGUAUGCAUAAAGUGUUAUUUUCUGACAUUAUGUAGCUUGAUUUAUUUUUAUGGUAAGUCCAUUGUAGAGUUUGAUACAUAUUUAAACAAGAAAAAGGAAAUUAAAUCUUAAAAGAUCAUUUAUAUAAGAUUAGAGAAGCUAUCCUAAAUACACACAUGU